GGGGGCGAUACGGUUUCGACGGGGACAAUGAAAUUCAAGCUGCAUACCGAGCGUCCUGUCGGCUCGUAAAUCCUGAUGGGGCUAAACAUAAUCGCAGACGAUUAUGCGUACGCCGUAGCUGCCUAAGGCAGCUACCGUCCUGCCGGUUCUUCUCCUGCAGAUCCGGUAAAGGGCGUCGACUAGCGGGAUAGUUGAUCCAGAGUGCCUGCGGCUGGAUCGGCGAACGUCAGCGGGCUGGCCGAUUGCGCAUCCCGCUUGGAGGAGACGCAAGAGGCGAGAUUCAAACUCCAAGAUACGUAUGUAGAUGCUUGAGUGGAAUGUUUUCGGACGCGGGUUCGACUCCCGCCGCCUCCACCA
rnacentral:tmRNA from 1 species